GGAGGAUGUCGUUGUUGAUGGUGAAGCCGUUGUAGUUAGGGUGCUUGAAAACCUUUAUGAAGAGGAUACUCAUAUUAAAAUUCAUGGUCUGAAUGGGCUCAGCAUUGGAAGAAAGAUCAUGCUCACCCAGGAUAACACAGUGAGAGGUCCUGAUAAAAGAAGAAAAUUGCACAGAAUUCUGAAGAGACACGCAUAUUCUGAAAUAAAGUGAGCAGCAGUCACAACCCACAACUCAUUGAUCAGGGAGCCACCGCAGAAGUGGAAGCCAGUGGAGUCCUUAAAUGAGAUGUUAAAUUUGUUUAUUUAUGGAUUUUUUAAUGUUUGUUUUAUUAAAUAUCUCUAUCAUCUAUAUGUAAUUUGUUAAUGAAGAUGUCUGUACCUGCAGGGCCAGGAAUGGGGCACUGCCUCUUCACCAUUCACAAUCCUGGAGUAGCCAGUGAUAAUAGGGGGGAUGGCAGGAACA